CAGCCGCCACGGUAAUACGUAGGGUGCAAGCGUUGUCCGGAAUUAUUGGGCGUAAAGAGCUCGUAGGCGGUUUGUCGCGUCUGCUGUGAAAUCCCGAGGCUCAACCUCGGGCUUGCAGUGGGUACGGGCAGACUAGAGUGCGGUAGGGGAGAUUGGAAUUCCUGGUGUAGCGGUGGAAUGCGCAGAUAUCAGGAGGAACACCGAUGGCGAAGGCAGAUCUCUGGGCCGUAACUGACGCUGAGGAGCGAAAGCGUGGGGAGCGAACAGGAUUAGAUACCCCAGUAGUCCCUGUCUCUUAUAC
rnacentral:rRNA from 1 species